GAUGAACGCUAGCGGGAGGCCUAACACAUGCAAGCCGAGCGGGAUUUGUUGGUUAGCUUGCUAACUAACAAUGAGAGCGGCGUACGGGUGCGUAGCACGUGUGCAACCUGCCUUUAUCUGGGGGAUAGCCUUUCGAAAGGAAGAUUAAUACCCCAUAACAUAUUGAUUGGCAUCAGUUAAUAUUGAAAGCUCCGGCGGAUAGAGAUGGGCACGCGUAAGAUUAGCUAGUUGGUGAGGUAACGGCUCACCAAGGCUGCGAUCUUUAGGGGGCCUGAGAGGGUGAUCCCCCACAAUGGUACUGAGACACGGACCAGACUCCUACGGGAGGCAGCAGUGAGGAAUAUUGGACAAUGGGUGAGAGCCUGAUCCAGCCAUCCCGCGUGAAGGACUAAGGACCUAUGGUUUGUAAACUUCUUUUAUACAGGGAUAAACCUACUCUCGUGAGGGUAGCUGAAGGUACUGUAUGAAUAAGCACCGGCUAACUCCGUG
rnacentral:rRNA from 1 species